rnacentral:rRNA from 1 species
GGGUAUGGCUGUUCGCCAUUUAAAGUGGUACGCGAGCUGGGUUUAGAACGUCGUGAGACAGUUCGGUCCCUAUCUGCCGUGGGCGCUGGAGAAUUGAGGGGGGCUGCUCCUAGUACGAGAGGACCGGAGUGGACGCAUCACUGGUGUUCGGGUUGUCAUGCCAAUGGCAUUGCCCGGUAGCUAAAUGCGGAAGAGAUAAGUGCUGAAAGCAUCUAAGCACGAAACUUGCCCCGAGAUGAGUUCUCCCUGAGACUAUAAGUCUCCUGAAGGAACGUUAAAGACGAUGACGUUGAUAGGUCGGGUGUGUAAGUGUAGCGAUACAUUGAGCUAACCGAUACUAAUGAACCGUGAGGCUUAACCUUACAACGCCGAAG